rnacentral:rRNA from 1 species
AGAGUUUGAUCCUGGCUCAGGAUGAACGCUGGCGGCGUGCUUAACACAUUCAAGUCGAACGGUGAAAUGCCUUCGGGCAUGGAACAGUGGCGGACGGGUGAGUAACGCGUGAGCAACCUGCCAUACAGUGGGGGAUAACACAGGGAAACUUGUGCUAAUACCGCAUGACACAUCGGGACCGCAUGAUUCUGAUGUCAAAGAGCAAUUGCUGUAUGAUGGGCUCGCGUAUGAUUAGACAGUUGGCAGGGUAACGGCCUACCAAAUCAACGAUCAUUAGCCGAACUGAGAGGUUGAACGGCCACAUUGGAACUGAGAAACGGUCCAGACUCCUACGGGAGGCAGCAGUGGGGAAUAUUGGGCAAUGGGCGAAAGCCUGACCCAGCGACGCCGCGUGAGGGAAGAAGGUCUUCGGAUUGUAAACCUCUUUCAGCAGGGAAGAAGGAAGUGACGGUACCUGCAGAAGAAGUCACGGCUAACUACGUGCCAGCAGCCGCGGUAAUACGUAGGGGGCAAGCGUUAUCCGGAUUUACUGGGUGUAAAGGGAGCGUAGACGGCGAGUCAAGUCUGAUGUGAAAGGUGUGGGCUCAACUCACAAACUGCAUUGGAAACUGGUUUGCUAGAGUGUCGGAGAGGUAAGUGGAAUUCCUAGUGUAGCGGUGAAAUGCGUAGAUAUUAGGAGGAACACCAGUGGCGAAGGCGGCUUACUGGACGAUCACUGACGUUGAGGCUCGAAGGCGUGGGGAGCAAACAGGAUUAGAUACCCUGGUAGUCCACGCGGUAAACGAUGAAUACUAGGUGUUGGGUGGCGAUAGCCAUUCGGUGCCGCAGCAAACGCAAUAAGUAUUCCACCUGGGGAGUACGUUCGCAAGAAUGAAACUCAAAGGAAUUGACGGGGACCCGCACAAGCGGUGGAGCAUGUGGUUUAAUUCGAAGCAACGCGAAGAACCUUACCAAAUCUUGACAUCCCUCUGACAGUACUGAUAAACGGUAUUUCCUUCGGGACAGAGGAGACAGGUGGUGCAUGGUUGUCGUCAGCUCGUGUCGUGAGAUGUUGGGUUAAGUCCCGCAACGAGCGCAACCCUUGUCGUUAGUAGCCAGCAGGUAAGGCUGGGCACUCUAAUGAGACUGCCGGGGAUAACCCGGAGGAAGGUGGGGAUGACGUCAAAUCAUCAUGCCCCUUAUGAUUUGGGCUACACACGUGCUACAAUGGCGUAAACAAAGAGAAGCGAGAGAGUGAUCUGGAGCAAAUCUCAAAAAUAACGUCUCAGUUCGGAUUGUAGUCUGCAACUCGACUACAUGAAGCUGGAAUCGCUAGUAAUCGCGAAUCAGCAUGUCGCGGUGAAUACGUUCCCGGGUCUUGUACACACCGCCCGUCACACCAUGGAAGUCGGAAAUGCCCGAAGUACGUGACUUAACCGUAAGGAGAGAGCGUCCGAAGGCAGGUCUGAUAACUGGGGUGAAGUCGUAACAAGGUAACC